rnacentral:rRNA from 1 species
AACGCGAAGAACCUUACCUGGGCUCGAAAUGUAGUGGAAUCCGGUAGAAAUAUCGGCGUCUAGCAAUAGACCGCUAUAUAGGUGCUGCAUGGCUGUCGUCAGCUCGUGUCGUGAGAUGUUGGGUUAAGUCCCGCAACGAGCGCAACCCUUAUCUCCAGUUGCUACCAUUUAGUUGAGCACUCUGGCGAAACCGCCUCGGAUAACGGGGAGGAAGGUGGGGAUGACGUCAAGUCCUCAUGGCCUUUAUGUCCAGGGCUACACACGUGCUACAAUGGCCGGUACAAACCGCUGCGAACCCGCGAGGGGGAGCUAAUCGCAAAAAACCGUCCUCAGUUCGGAUCGCAGGCUGCAACUCGCCUGCGUGAAGCUGGAAUCGCUAGUAAUGGUGUAUCAGAACGAUACCGUGAAUACGUUCCCGGGCCUUGUACACACCGAGACGAC